GAUGAACGCUAGCGGCAGGCCUAAUACAUGCAAGUCGUACGGCAACACAGUUGCGAGCAAAUCGCAACCGGUGGCGAGUGGCGCACGGGUGAGUAACGCGUAUGUAACCUACCCUUCUCCGGGACAUAACUCCGCGAAAGCGGUGCUAAUAUCCCAUACCAACUCAUCAAGACAUCUUCUUGAGUUGAAAGCAGCAAUGCGGUGAAGGAUGGGCAUGCGUCCCAUUAGCUGGUUGGUGAGGUAAUGGCCCACCAAGGCUACGAUGGGUAGGGGUUCUGAGAGGAAAGCCCCCCACACUGGUACUGAGACACGGACCAGACUCCUACGGGAGGCAGCAGUAAGGAAUAUUGGGCAAUGGUCGAAAGACGUGACCCAGCCAUGCCGCGUGCAGGAUGAAGGCCCUAUGGGUUGUAAACUGCUUUUAGCCGGGAAUAAACACCCGUUUUAUAACGGCCCGAAGGUACCGGCUGAAUAAGCAUCGGCUAACUCCGUGCCAGC
rnacentral:rRNA from 1 species